AUUGAACGCUGGCGGCAGGCCUAACACAUGCAAGUCGAGCGGAGCGGCGGACGGGUGAGUGAUGCCUAGGAAUCUGCCUGGUCGUGGGGGAUAACGUCCGGAACCGGGAGCUAAUACUGCAUACUAUCAGAUGAGCCUAGGUCGGAUUAGCUAGUUGGUGGGGUAAAGGCAUACCAAGGCGACGACCCGUAACUGGUCGGAGAGGAUGAUCAGUCACACUGGAACUGAGACACGGUCCAGACUCCUACGGGAGGCAGCAGUGGGGAAUAUUGGACAAUGGGCGAAAGCCUGAUCCAGCCAUGCCGCGUGUAUGAAGAAGGUCUUCGGAUUGUAAAGCACUUUAAGUUGGGAGGCGUUACCUACAGAAUAAGCACCGGCUAACUCCGUGCCAGCAGCCGCGGUAAUAC
rnacentral:rRNA from 1 species